ensembl:snRNA U6 U6 spliceosomal RNA
AUAAUAAGAGCAGCAUGUACACUAAAAUUGGAAGGAUACAGAGAAGAUUAGCAUGGCCCCUGCACAAGAGUGACAUGCAAAUUUGCGAAGCGUUCCAUAUUUUU